CAACACUCAAAGACAAGCUGCAGCCAUCCAUCACAUCUCAGUUCCUCACAACAACCAGGUGUAUCAACUUCCAAACCAAACCAAUGCCACAUGAAUGGCGGGACUGAUAUUGUUAGUCCACAUAAUUAAUCACUUCAUCUCCAAAAUGGCAACAAUAACCACAAAUAACGUCAGAAGUGAGAACAGCAUGGAGAAGAAGCAGCAAAUCUCGAAGCUGAGCACAGCUCUGACAACAUCGAGCCGGUGAGUUUUCCUCCAUGUUGACCUCUCCUGAGAGCUCUCCUUCUUUAGACCUGAGCCUGUCAGCACCGUUUCAACCCUCCAAGUUUAAACAUGGGGAAAAAAAAAAAAAAAUGUGGUGCCAAAUACACAGACAUCGAGUCAGUUUUUGGCAGAGAAUGGGAAAGAAUGAGGAGCGUGCAAAAGAAAGACGGAAAGAAAGGAAGAACAAAAUAAAGAUCGUCAAGUCCAGUAUUUCACAUAAUCAUUUUUGAGUUGAUUUUCAAAUUGAUCCUGGAAAACAGCGGCUCCCUAGCAGAGAGGAUUCAGUGCCUCAGAGGAGGACAUGAGAGGCCAUGUGAGAGGAUGAGGUUAACCCCAUUUCAUUUUGCCGGGCAAAUGAAGCAGACCAAGUGGAAAAGUGGAAUGCCGAUGUGUGUGGGACUCGACAGAGCUGCACGGCUGA